GCAAGUCGAACGGUAACAGGUCUUCGGAUGCUGACGAGUGGCGAACGGGUGAGUAAUACAUCGGAACGUGCCCGAGAGUGGGGGAUAACGAAGCGAAAGCUUUGCUAAUACCGCAUACGAUCUCAGGAUGAAAGCAGGGGACCGCAAGGCCUUGCGCUCACGGAGCGGCCGAUGGCAGAUUAGGUAGUUGGUGGGAUAAAAGCUUACCAAGCCGACGAUCUGUAGCUGGUCUGAGAGGACGACCAGCCACACUGGGACUGAGACACGGCCCAGACUCCUACGGGAGGCAGCAGUGGGGAAUUUUGGACAAUGGGCGCAAGCCUGAUCCAGCCAUGCCGCGUGCAGGAUGAAGGCCUUCGGGUUGUAAACUGCUUUUGUACGGAACGAAAAGACUCUGGUUAAUACCUGGGGUCCAUGACGGUACCGUAAGAAUAAGCACCGGCUAACUACGUGCCAGCAGCCGCGGUAAUACGUAGGGUGCGAGCGUUAAUCGGAAUUACUGGGCGUAAAGCGUGCGCAGGCGGUUAUGUAAGACAGAUGUGAAAUCCCCGGGCUCAACCUGGGAACUGCAUUUGUGACUGCAUAGCUAGAGUACGGCAGAGGGGGAUGGAAUUCCGCGUGUAGCAGUGAAAUGCGUAGAUAUGCGGAGGAACACCGAUGGCGAAGGCAAUCCCCUGGGCCUGUACUGACGCUCAUGCACGAAAGCGUGGGGAGCAAACAGG
rnacentral:rRNA from 1 species